GGGGCUGUAGCUCAGGGGUAGAGCGCCUGCUUUGCAUUUAAAAAUGCGUAUGCAUGAGGUCAUGGGUUCGAGACCCAUCAGCUCCA
rfam:Rhinocladiella mackenziei CBS 650.93 unplaced genomic scaffold supercont1.5, whole genome shotgun sequence.